CUAUUGACAAUUCUAUGGCGCGUUGCCAAUUGCUUGAUUAACUGAGCAUUGCCAAUUUGAAGAAAAGCUGCAUAUCGUUUGUAAAACAGUAAAAAAAUGACGACGAUGAUAGUGUAAUUUUAAAAUUUUUCAUGAUGAAUCCAACUAAAGUGCUGGGUAUGGUCUAACACAACCACAUUAUCUGCAACACUUAUUAACUGUCAACAUGGAACCCUUUUGUUAUUGUGAAUAUAACGAAAAUUGUGUAAAAAUAAAAUGCUCAUUUAAAGCAAAUAUUAAAAUUAUUAAUAUAAAAAAAAUAUGUAGAAACAUUGUAGUGAAGUGUAAGUGUAUAAUAAGUGCAUAAUAUAAACGAAAAAUUAACUAUAAAUCUAGAAAUUGUAAGAUAAAAUUUGCAAAUAUCUCGAAAACUAUAAGUUUCCGGCGGCUAUAAUUAUAUAUAUUCUGGAGAAUCUUCUCUAUCCAACCAUACCCCUUUUAAUUCUAAAAUCGUGGCAUGGUAUACUAAAGCCGACCCAAAAACAUACCUGAAAUAAUUUUGAAGAAUGCUCCCCAGUUGACAGUCCUUGGCCGAAUAAAAAUUCGGGUUCGUUCCGGGUUACGUAGACCCGACUGUCGUGGAAACGGAUUUGAAUCUACUGUUAAAAAAUAAAGGAAGAAUAAAAAUGAAGGAGUUAGCUUAAUAUAGCGGAAAUUAAACUAACAAACUAAACUGAAUUUCAGGCUACAAUACCACUAUAGUGUCUUUCAAGUGGAUGUGGCUGACAUCAAGGUAAUAGCAGAAGUACUGUUCCGAAGUGCAGCUUUCUUCAGAGCGGCUAUACUGGAUUUGAGCUCACUGACUGUGAGCUCCAAACUAGUCAAGGAGGGCAUGACCUCAUGAGCAAUACCAUUAAGCUUCUUCCCUAUAAAACUUGUAUGGAUGCCCUGCCACAGCGGAAUCGCCAUCAUCCUAUUGGAUAUAUAUAAUAUAUAUACGAAUUAAUUUAAUAUACAAAAGAACGUUAAACAAUCUUCAAAUCAAUAAAUAGGUUGAAAAUUUCA